GGGGGACUCCUACGGGAGGCAGCAGUGAGGAAUAUUGGUCAAUGGGCGGGAGCCUGAACCAGCCAAGUCGCGUGAAGGAAGAAGGAUCUAUGGUUCGUAAACUUCUUUUGCAGGGGAAUAAAGUGCGGGACGUGUCCUGUUUUGUAUGUACCCUGAGAAUAAGGAUCGGCUAACUCCGUG
rnacentral:rRNA from 1 species